rnacentral:lncRNA from 1 species
GGGAGAUCAAAGCUUGGCGGUGGCAAAGUGAUGGGGAGGACCAGGGCACAGCAGUGUGGGAACAGAGUGCAUUGAUGCAAUGGGGAUGUGAGCAAAGGAGUGGCAAGAGGCCUCUGCCCUGGGACCCACAGGGUAGAGGACGCCCUUCUAGCUCUCCCCGAACCUUUUGGUCCCCAUGGGGUGAAGUAUCUGAGCGCCUGGAGAAUAUAUCCAGCUAGAGACCAUUCCUUCUAGGCACUUGCUGCCAAAAGUGAGGUCCACGAACAAGCAGCAUCAGUAUCACCCGGAGUUUGCUGGAAAUGCCCUGACCCAGAUUUACAGCAUUUUGGUAAGAUUUCCAGGUCAUAGGUUGUUGAAGACAAUCACUUCAUCAGCCAUCUCCUGUCAACUGGCAAUUCAUUUUGACUUAAAUGCCAAUCACCAGGAGUCUUCUGCCACUGAACACCUCAAUAAUCUCCCUCCAGAGCUGGAACAUACACUGUGGUGGACAUGGAGAUGUGCCACCCAUCACCCCCUUCAAGGACUUGUCCCAGCUUCUGGAGGUGUAGUUGCUGGGCAACCUUCUGCUGUCACCCCUUUUGGGGACAGCCCUCAUGCAAUGACUAAUCAAGGUGGAGGGAGAAAGCCCUGGCCAUUGGCACACAGGACGACCCUCAUGGACCAUUUUAGCUCCAGGGUUCCUGGUGGGAUCAGCUGGUCUCUCUGGCUAGCACUCCAGCUCAAUUUCUCCAUCCACCCAAUCCUGCUUCUUCCCUCUUCAUUCCACAAGGAUUAAUUCCAAGGGUAACUCUGUAAUAAACAUCCGGAACACCAAACUCCAUCUCAGAGUCUGCAUCCCAGAUAAUCAAACUGCAGCACAGACCAAAGAAGCUUCUAGGGCUUGGGGAGGAUUUUUACUUGAAAACUGUUAGUUAUAUUCGUAAGACUUAUUUCUUCCCAACCCCCAUCUAGCUUCUGCAGAAUCAUAACACUUAUUUCUAAAUCCUGAAAUCCGAUAUAAAAUAGUGGAAACAAGGACUCUGUAUGUGAAUGAAUUACCCUCUGGGUUGAAAACUUCCAUUUGAUAAGGAUCAACAUAUCCAUUAAAACACAUAUAACAUAUUUUGUGGAAAUUAAACCAUGAGUUUAUUACAAUUUUUGAGGAAAACUAUUUGUUUUUCAAUCUAUAUUUGGGGAAUAAUGUAGUCCAUAACUAUACUAUUUAUCAAGUAGGGUGGAAGUAUUUCAUUGACACACAUUUACUCAAUUUUCAAAGAAUGAGGAUUUGAGAAUUAGACCAGUUGGUGAAUAAGUUGGGUUGAGCAUAGACAUGGCUUUUAGGAUGAGCAUUACUUGUUGAACAUUCUUAGUUUUCUUUAUUUCAGGUGAUAGAUUUCUCUCUUUGCUUUUAGUAAAAUAAGUCCAUUAGUAAUGCAUAUCACAUUUGUGGAAUUAUAAAGACAUUAUUUUGAGCUGUGAUGGCCAGAAUGUCAUACAGUCUUCUAGGUAAAGGCAGAUCUUGAAAACGCUCUAAAACAGAAUUGGUUGUGGGAAGUGACUUACACAUUCAUUCAGGUGCAAAAUCUAACAUACUUCAGGGCAUACAUUAAUCUUUUGAGAACAGGAUUUGAAACAAAUACCGAGAUUUGAGAAGACAGGCUUCUAAAAUCUCCACAGUCAAACCCUCUGAAAGAAAAACACGAAUUUUCAUUGCAGUACAUAAGGACAAGUUAAUCAGCUGAUAAAUUAAUAUUAACUCAACUCACUAAAUUGAACAAUACUACAUAAUAAAUCUAAUUCACUGACUCAUUGAAUUGAUUAAAGUUGUUUCUUCACAAGACAUCAACCACUUAUAGUGUUAUUAAUAAAAGCACUUAGCAUUAUUUCUUCUAUUGAUACAUAGUAUAUAUUUUUAAAAUUACAUAUUUAUGGGAUACAUGUAUUUGUUACAUGCAUAGAAUGUGUAAUUAUCAAGCCAGGGCAUUUGAGGGUAUCUAUCACCUUCAGUAUUUAUCAUUUCUAUGUGCUGGUAACAUUUCAAGUCCUCUCUUCUAGUUACUUUGAAAUAUAUAAUGUAUUGUUGCUAACUAUAGUCACCCUAGGCUGCUAUUAAACAUUAGAACUUCUUUCUUCUACUUGUGUUCAUACCCAUUAACCAGCCUCCCUCUCUCACCCACCCACCCUUCCCAGCCUCUGGUAUCUAUGAUUCUAUUCUCUAUUUCCAAGAGAUUAAAUGUUUUAGCUCCAAUAUGAGAGAAUAUGUGGUAUUUGUCUUUUUGUUCCUGCCUUAUUUCACUUAACAGAAUGACCUCUAGUUCCAUCCACAUUGCUGCAAAUGACAUGGUUCCAUUCUUUUUUUUAUGGCUGAAUAGUAUUGCAUGGUACAUAUAUGUACAUCAUAUAAAAAAUUAUUUCAUCCAUUGAUGGACACUUAGGUUGAUGCCAUAUUUUUGCUAUUGUGAAUAGUGCUAUGAUAAACGUAAGAGUGCAGGUAUCCCUUUGAUAUACUGAUGAAAGAAAUAUAUGUUUCUUUUCCUUUGGGUAAAUACACAGUUAGUGAGAUUGCUGGUUUGUAUGGUACAUCUUUUUUUUUUUUUUUUAAGACAGAGUCUUAUUCUGUUAUCCAGGCUGGAGUGCAGUGGCAUGACCUCGGCUCACUGCAGCCUCUGUCUCUCAGGUUCAAGCAAUUCUCCUGCCUCAGCCUGCCGAGUAGCUAGGAUUACAGAUUACAGGCAUGUGCCACGAUGUCUGGCUAAUUUUUAUAUUUUUAAUAGGGAUGGGGUUUCACCAUACUGGCCAGGCUGGUCUCGGACUCCUGACCUCAGGUGAUUUGUCUGCCUCAGCCUCCCAAAGAGCUCAGAUUACAGGCGUGAGCCACCGCGCCCAGCCGUAAGGACUUCUAUUUUUAGGUUUGUUUUUUUAGAAAUCUCUAUACCAGGCUGGUCAUGGUGGCUCACGCCUGUAAUCCCAUCACUUUG